AGUCUCUCGACAACCCUUUCCUCAAUCUCAGUCUCCCUCGGGCAUCACAGAAUAAGAGAAACAGUAGCUCACAGCAAGAUGCUACUACACUUGGAGGGGAUAAUUGAAUGGCUAUUGGUGAUUGAAUGGUCAUUUUAUAAGCAUGACUAGCCAUGUUGGUGUUCCAUCUUUUUGUGGAAAUUGUGGAGAGUGAUGCUGUUCGAACUUCAAAGCUUCAAUUAUAAUAUUGGCAUUGUCUUGUUUUAAAUGGAUUAUUGAUGUUAUUUAAUUGGAUAAUUGUUAAGAUUUGUUUUGGAUGAUUUCUGGAUUAUUUCACUUCUUUUGGAUGAUUUAUGGAUUAUUUCACUUGUUCUGGAUGAUUUAUGG